AUACGUAGGUGACAAGCGUUAUCCGGAUUUACUGGGCGUAAAGGGCGUGUAGGCGGUCUUGCAAGUCAGACGUGAAAUUCCUGAGCUCAACUCGGGCGCUGCUUCUGAAACUGCAGGACUUGAGUGCUGGAGGGGAUCGCGGAAGUCCUAGUGGAGCGGUAAAAUGCGCAGAUAUUAGGAAGAACACCGGUGGCGAAGGCGGCUAUCUGGACAGUAACUGACGCUGAGGCGCGAAAGCGUGGGGAGCAAACAGGAUUAGAUACCCUGGUAGUCCACACUGUAAACGAUGAAUGCUAGGUGUAGGGGGUAUCGACCCCUUCUGUGCCGCAGUCAACACAAUAAGUAUUCCGCCUGGGGAGUACGGCCGCAAGGUUGAAACUCAAAUGAAUUGGCGGGG
rnacentral:rRNA from 1 species